UACGUAGGGGGCAAGCGUUGCCCGGAAUCAUUGGGCGUAAAGCGCGUGUAGGCGGCUCGGUAAGUCUGCUGUGAAAGUCCAGGGCUCAACCCUGGGAUGCCGGUGGAUACUGUCGAGCUCGAGUCCGGAAGAGGCGAGUGGAAUUCCUGGUGUAGCGGUGAAAUGCGCAGAUAUCAGGAGGAACACCAGUAGCGAAGGCGGCUCGCUGGGCCAUUCCUGACGCUGAGACGCGAAAGCUAGGGGAGCGAACAGG
rnacentral:rRNA from 1 species